rnacentral:rRNA from 1 species
CCUACGGGAGGCAGCAGUGAGGAAUCUUGGUCAAUGUGCGCGAGCCUGAACCAGCCAAGUAGCGUGAAGGAUGACUGCCCUCCGGGUUGUAAACUUCAUUUAUAAAGGAAUAAAGUGAGUCACGUGUGCCUUUUUGUAUGUACUUUAUGAAUAAUGAUAGGCUAACUCCGUGCCAGCAGCCGCGGUAAUACGGAGGAGCCGAGCGUUAUCCGGUUUUAUUGGGUUGAAAUGGAGCGUAGAUGGGUUGUUAAGUCAGUUGUGAAAGUUUGCGGCUCAACCGUAAAAUUGCAAUUGAUACUGGUAGUCUUGAGUACAGUUGAGGUAGGCGGAAUUCGUGGUGUAGCGGUGAAAUGCUUAGAUAUCACGAAGAACUCCGAUUGCGAAGGCAGCUUACUAAACUGCCACUGACAUUGAUGCUCGAAAGUGUGGGUAUCAAACAGGAUUAGAUACCCUGGUAGUC